GGAGGUAGCUUGCUACCGGACCUAGCGGCGGACGGGUGAGUAAUGCUUAGGAAUCUGCCUAUUAGUGGGGGACAACAUCUCGAAAGGGAUGCUAAUACCGCAUACGUCCUACGGGAGAAAGCAGGGGAUCUUUGGACCUUGCGCUAAUAGAUGAGCCUAAGUCGGAUUAGCUAGUUGGUGGGGUAAAGGCCUACCAAGGCGACGAUCUGUAGCGGGUCUGAGAGGAUGAUCCGCCACACUGGGACUGAGACACGGCCCAGACUCCUACGGGAGGCAGCAGUGGGGAAUAUUGGACAAUGGGGGGAACCCUGAUCCAGCCAUGCCGCGUGUGUGAAGAAGGCCUUAUGGUUGUAAAGCACUUUAAGCGAGGAGGAGGCUACUUUAUUAAUACCUAGAGAUAGUGGACGUUACUCGCAGAAUAAGCACCGGCUAACUCUUGUGCCAGCCAGCCGCGGUAAUACAGAGGGUGCGAGCGUUAAUCGGAUUUACUGGGCGUAAAGCGUGCGUAGGCGGCUUAUUAAGUCGGAUGUGAAAUCCCCGAGCUUAACUUGGGAAUUGCAUUCGAUACUGGUGAGCUAAAGUAUGGGAGAGGAUGGUAAAAUUUCCACGGUGUACGGUAAAAUGCGUAAAGAUCUGGAGGAAUAACGAUUGCGAAGGGCAGCCCAUCUGGCCUAAUAACUGACGCUUAGUACCAAAGCAUGGGGGAGACAAACAGGANUAAAUNACCUGGUAUAUCCAUGUCCNUAAACAAUUUNUACUAACCCUUGGGGCCNUUUGUGGGCUUUUGCGCCCCUCACCCCAUAAUAUACCCCCCUGGGGGGAUCGUGCCAAACAAACCUCACAAUAUNUUAUAGGGC
rnacentral:rRNA from 1 species